AAGCAAAGCAGAAUCUAAUUCGCCUAUCAACCAGAUCUCCCCUUAAUUCUUUACUUUCCAUUUCUUCACACCCAUCGUUCUUCGAUUUCCGAUCAUCGCUUCUCAGAAAUUCGGAGGUCGGUUCGAAUCGCACAUAAUCCACCAUGUCCAUGUUCAAUAAGCUUUUUGGUAAACCUAAACAGGAGUCUAAUGCCCUGGCCACGCUUGAUAAAUUAAACGAGACACUUGAAAUGCUGGAGAAGAAGGAGAAAGUACUUUUGAAAAAAGCUGCCACAGAGGUUGAGAAGGCUAAAGAUUAUACCAGAGCAAAGAACAAGCGGGCUGCUAUACAAUGUUUGAAGAGGAAGAGGCUA
rnacentral:misc_RNA from 1 species